AGGACUGUCGCCGGUUCCUGAACUUUGUGAACAGUCACCAUGGACACCAGCAGAGGGUCUACACCUUCCCCUGCCUGCGAGCUUUCCUUGACUCCACACAGCUGUUUCGUCCUAAAGACGACAAACUAGACGAGUUCUGGAUAGAUUUCAACGCCGGCUCAGGAUGUGUGAGCUUCUUCAUCGAUGAGC